CAUUUCUUACCGAAUUUAUUGUAAGUACCACCUGCUCCAUGAAAUCUAAAUAGCCGCGGGAAUUUAACCGUGCUAAGGUAGCAUAAUCAUUAGCCUCUUAAUUAGAGGCUCGCAUGAAUGGUGAAACAUUUCAAUUUCUGUAUCAAUUAAAUCUGUUAAAUUUAAGCUAAGAAUAAAAAUGUUCUUAUUUUAAAAAAAGACGACAAGACCCUUUUGAACUUUACUUCUGUUUAGCUGGGGCAGCUAUUAAAAAAUUAUUUUUAUACCAUUAUUUUAAUAAAAGACCUAAUACAAUUAAUUAUUAGAACAAGUUACCACAGGGAUAACAGCGUAAUAUCUUUUUAAAGCUCUUAUUAAAAAAGAAGAUUGCGACCUCGAUGUUGAAUUAAUGUAACUUAACUAAUGCAGCCAUUAAUCUAAGUGGGUCUGUUCGACCCUUUAUACAUUAC
rnacentral:rRNA from 1 species